rnacentral:piRNA from 2 species
UACAAGGUCUUCAGAAUAAGCCUCUCUUC